AACGAACGCCGGCGGCAGGCUUAACACAUGCAAGUCGAACGCCCCGCAAGGGGAGUGGCAGACGGGUGAGUAACGCGUGGGAAUCUACCCAGUUCUACGGAAUAACCCAGGGAAACUUGGACUAAUACCGUAUACGCCCUACGGGGGAAAGAUUUAUCGGAAUUGGAUGAGCCCGCGUUGGAUUAGCUAGUUGGUGGGGUAAUGGCCUACCAAGGCGACGAUCCAUAGCUGGUCUGAGAGGAUGAUCAGCCACACUGGGACUGAGACACGGCCCAGACUCCUACGGGAGGCAGCAGUGGGGAAUAUUGGACAAUGGGCGCAAGCUUGAUCCAGCCAUGCCGCGUGAGUGAUGAAGGCCUUAGGGUUGUAAAGCUCUUUCAGUGGGGACGAUAAUGACGGUACCCACAGAAGAAGCCCCGGCUAACUUCGUGCCAGCCGCCGCGGUAAUAC
rnacentral:rRNA from 1 species